rnacentral:rRNA from 1 species
GGUUAAGCGACUAAGCGUACACGGUGGAUGCCCUGGCAGUCAGAGGCGAUGAAGGACGUGCUAAUCUGCGAUAAGCGUCGGUAAGGUGAUAUGAACCGUUAUAACCGGCGAUUUCCGAAUGGGGAAACCCAGUGUGAUUCGUCACACUAUCAUUAACUGAAUCCAUAGGUUAAUGAGGCGAACCGGGGGAACUGAAACAUCUAAGUACCCCGAGGAAAAGAAAUCAACCGAGAUUCCCCCAGUAGCGGCGAGCGAACGGGGAGGAGCCCAGAGCCUGAAUCAGUGUGUGUGUUAGUGGAAGCGUCUGGAAAGGCGCGCGAUACAGGGUGACAGCCCCGUACACAAAAAUGCACAUGCUGUGAGCUCGAUGAGUAGGGCGGGACACGUGGUAUCCUGUCUGAAUAUGGGGGGACCAUCCUCCAAGGCUAAAUACUCCUGACUGACCGAUAGUGAACCAGUACCGUGAGGGAAAGGCGAAAAGAACCCCGGCGAGGGGAGUGAAAAAGAACCUGAAACCGUGUACGUACAAGCAGUGGGAGCACAGAGCAAUCUGUGUGACUGCGUACCUUUUGUAUAAUGGGUCAGCGACUUAUAUUCUGUAGCAAGGUUAACCGAAUAGGGGAGCCGAAGGGAAACCGAGUCUUAACUGGGCGUUAAGUUGCAGGGUAUAGACCCGAAACCCGGUGAUCUAGCCAUGGGCAGGUUGAAGGUUGGGUAACACUAACUGGAGGACCGAACCGACUAAUGUUGAAAAAUUAGCGGAUGACUUGUGGCUGGGGGUGAAAGGCCAAUCAAACCGGGAGAUAGCUGGUUCUCCCCGAAAGCUAUUUAGGUAGCGCCUCGUGAAUUCAUCUCCGGGGGUAGAGCACUGUUUCGGCAAGGGGGUCAUCCCGACUUACCAACCCGAUGCAAACUGCGAAUACCGGAGAAUGUUAUCACGGGAGACACACGGCGGGUGCUAACGUCCGUCGUGAAGAGGGAAACAACCCAGACCGCCAGCUAAGGUCCCAAAGUCAUGGUUAAGUGGGAAACGAUGUGGGAAGGCCCAGACAGCCAGGAUGUUGGCUUAGAAGCAGCCAUCAUUUAAAGAAAGCGUAAUAGCUCACUGGUCGAGUCGGCCUGCGCGGAAGAUGUAACGGGGCUAAACCAUGCACCGAAGCUGCGGCAGCGACACUGUGUGUUGUUGGGUAGGGGAGCGUUCUGUAAGCCUGUGAAGGUGUGCUGUGAGGUAUGCUGGAGGUAUCAGAAGUGCGAAUGCUGACAUAAGUAACGAUAAAGCGGGUGAAAAGCCCGCUCGCCGGAAGACCAAGGGUUCCUGUCCAACGUUAAUCGGGGCAGGGUGAGUCGACCCCUAAGGCGAGGCCGAAAGGCGUAGUCGAUGGGAAACAGGUUAAUAUUCCUGUACUUGGUGUUACUGCGAAGGGGGGACGGAGAAGGCUAUGUUGGCCGGGCGACGGUUGUCCCGGUUUAAGCGUGUAGGCUGGUUUUCCAGGCAAAUCCGGAAAAUCAAGGCUGAGGCGUGAUGACGAGGCACUACGGUGCUGAAGCAACAAAUGCCCUGCUUCCAGGAAAAGCCUCUAAGCAUCAGGUAACAUCAAAUCGUACCCCAAACCGACACAGGUGGUCAGGUAGAGAAUACCAAGGCGCUUGAGAGAACUCGGGUGAAGGAACUAGGCAAAAUGGUGCCGUAACUUCGGGAGAAGGCACGCUGAUAUGUAGGUGAAGUCCCUCGCGGAUGGAGCUGAAAUCAGUCGAAGAUACCAGCUGGCUGCAACUGUUUAUUAAAAACACAGCACUGUGCAAACACGAAAGUGGACGUAUACGGUGUGACGCCUGCCCGGUGCCGGAAGGUUAAUUGAUGGGGUCAGCGCAAGCGAAGCUCUUGAUCGAAGCCCCGGUAAACGGCGGCCGUAACUAUAACGGUCCUAAGGUAGCGAAAUUCCUUGUCGGGUAAGUUCCGACCUGCACGAAUGGCGUAAUGAUGGCCAGGCUGUCUCCACCCGAGACUCAGUGAAAUUGAACUCGCUGUGAAGAUGCAGUGUACCCGCGGCAAGACGGAAAGACCCCGUGAACCUUUACUAUAGCUUGACACUGAACAUUGAGCCUUGAUGUGUAGGAUAGGUGGGAGGCUUUGAAGUGUGGACGCCAGUCUGCAUGGAGCCGACCUUGAAAUACCACCCUUUAAUGUUUGAUGUUCUAACGUGGACCCGUGAUCCGGGUUGCGGACAGUGUCUGGUGGGUAGUUUGACUGGGGCGGUCUCCUCCUAAAGAGUAACGGAGGAGCACGAAGGUUGGCUAAUCCUGGUCGGACAUCAGGAGGUUAGUGCAAUGGCAUAAGCCAGCUUGACUGCGAGCGUGACGGCGCGAGCAGGUGCGAAAGCAGGUCAUAGUGAUCCGGUGGUUCUGAAUGGAAGGGCCAUCGCUCAACGGAUAAAAGGUACUCCGGGGAUAACAGGCUGAUACCGCCCAAGAGUUCAUAUCGACGGCGGUGUUUGGCACCUCGAUGUCGGCUCAUCACAUCCUGGGGCUGAAGUAGGUCCCAAGGGUAUGGCUGUUCGCCAUUUAAAGUGGUACGCGAGCUGGGUUUAGAACGUCGUGAGACAGUUCGGUCCCUAUCUGCCGUGGGCGCUGGAGAACUGAGGGGGGCUGCUCCUAGUACGAGAGGACCGGAGUGGACGCAUCACUGGUGUUCGGGUUGUCAUGCCAAUGGCACUGCCCGGUAGCUAAAUGCGGAAGAGAUAAGUGCUGAAAGCAUCUAAGCACGAAACUUGCCCCGAGAUGAGUUCUCCCUGACCCUUUAAGGGUCCUGAAGGAACGUUGAAGACGACGACGUUGAUAGGCCGGGUGUGUAAGCGCAGCGAUGCGUUGAGCUAACCGGUACUAAUGAACCGUGAGGCUUAACCUUACAACGCCGAAGGUGUUUUG